GGGAAAGUGGCUCAGCAGUAGAGUGCAUGCCUUGCAAGCAUGAGGCCCUGGGUUCGAUUCCUCAGCACCA
rnacentral:tRNA from 1 species